rfam:Rachicladosporium antarcticum strain CCFEE 5527 scaffold_46, whole genome shotgun sequence.
ACAGAUGGCCGAGCGGUUAAGGCGCUAGCUUAAGGUAUCCUCAUAGGAUCUGUACGCUAGUUCGAAAGAGCGUGGGUUCGAUUCCCACUCUGU